CCGCGCAGCUCGCCGUUCGCCCGCGGCGCCCCGCUCUAGCGCGCCCGGGCGCGGAGAGGCGCGGAGAAGCGCGGAGGAGCGCGGGACGGCCGGUCUCCGCGCACACGGGGCGGGCGGCGCGGCUGGCCGCCGCCGCGGGGAGGGAGAGGGGCUGCAGCCCCCGCGCAGCCCCCGGCCCGGCUCCGCGCCCUCCCGCCCGGCCGCCGGGGAGGUGGGACGCGGCAGAAGGGAGAGAAAGGACCUACUUUUGGGCAGUUUUCUCGCCCUCGCCUUGGAUCUCAUCGUGUCGGCUUGUGGAUUCCUCUCCUCCUCCUUGAGCCCAGAAGCAGCUACACACUAUCUUCAUCUCCCAAGCAUUGUCAGUUUGGACACCUUCGCACAUGCGCACAGAGCAUUCAAUCUGACACCCUCACCAGGGCCAAAAAAACUUUCCAAUGUAUUCAUCAUCAUCAGGGUGGUUUUUUUUUUUUUUUUUUGUCCUAUCCUCUUCUUCAGACCACUUAUCUCUCCCCCCUCCUCUCUCCCAGCACCAUCACAGCCUUCCCCUGAUCUGCCCCUUUAAGAAAAAUCAGCCCUCUCCGCUCCUACCCCUCUGCACACUGACCUUACACACUGGACAAUAUUUAAGGAUCAAGGUGCCAUCCUAUAAAGAGGUGGAAAGCAGCGCGGCGGGGAAGCGCUCCCGAGGGCCGGGGGAAGCCGGGAGACGCGCGGGCGCCCCAGAAAAAAGAAAGAGGGGGGGAGAGGAAGGAGAAAUAUCCCCCUCCCUCCCUCCCGGAGCGAUGCCGGCCAGCCCGCAGGACCUGCCCGUCGCCCCCGGGAGCGAAGGUAGAGAGAGCCCGGGCAGAGGGGCUUUGAAGAAAGGAGCGAAGUGUAAAUAGCCCGAUGAUUGAUGUGCUGGCUUUGACCGCGGAGAAAGCACUAUUUUCAUUCAAGUGGCCAGGUCAGAUGGUCACGGAAGAAGGUUGAAAGGUAGGAUUUAAUGAGAUUAAUACGGAGAGAGAGAGAGGAAAAAAAAGAAAGCGCGGGCCUUCCUAAACAUUCAAUAAAAUACCCGGGUUAGGGAGAGCGCUCUGCUCUGCGCUUGCGGUGCUAACCCGUAGCGGGGCUCGGCGAGCAGGAAAAGCCGGAGCCCCUCACUGAAGGGCAUUGCAAAAACACUCCAAAAACUUCGCUGGGUGCGUCAGGUCUCUGCUGGAAGCCCUGCUGCCAGCUGCACUUUUGCCCUGCAGGUGGAACUGGGGAGGAGGGGGGGGGGGGGGAAUAGUCCUGCUAAUUACCGCUUUUCCCCUCCUCAAUAAACUCUUUAAUUGCAAAUG